rnacentral:rRNA from 1 species
AAAAUGACUCUCGGCAACGGAUAUCUCGGCUCUCGCAUCGAUGAAGAACGCAGCAAAAUGCGAUACUUGGUGUGAAUUGCAGAAUCCCGUGAACCAUCGAGUCUUUGAACGCAAGUUGCGCCCAAAGCCUUCGGGUUGAGGGCACGUCUGCCUGGGUGUCACGC